GGUGUGGUGAGUGAAAUGGAGAAGGCUAAACUUUUUCUUCCCACAUGCUCACUUCCUGGCUUGUUCGCUAGCUGCUGCAUCUGGCCCCUCAAGGGUAAAGUCAAGGGGAAAAGGAGAUUGAGAGGAAGGGCAGUCUGUGAAUUGGGUCUCACCGUGUUUCCCAGGCUGAAGUGCAGUGUUGUGAUAUCAGUUCAUUGCAACUUCUGUCUUGUGAGCUCAAGCAAUCCUCUUGCCUCAGCCUCUCGAGUAGCUGGGACUGACUACAGGCAUGAACCACCACACCUGACUAAUUUUUUUGUAUUUUUGUUGAAAAGACGGUUUCACCAUGUUGUAUGGAACUACUUCUCAAAUCACUAGUCACAUCCUGGUAGAAGUCAAGCAAUGAAGAUGGCACAGAAACAUAUCCCAAAUACUAUGAUACCAUAAAGUAUACUGUAGCAAUGCAUCUGGCACACCCUCAUUUGAACAUCUGUCUCAGAAGAUUUUGACAGAAGAUAAAACUGUCUAGCUUUUAUUUCAUUGGUUUCAUGAAAAUUUAUUUCACUGGUUUCAUGUCACAGGCCCGUGACUGUAUAAAGAGUCAUAAUCUUUACAAACACAACAAUGACUCACAGAGACAUGUUGCAAAGCUGUAAUCAAAAACACUGAUGUUAAUUUCAGAGGCCAUUAAUGGUGUUAAGAAGGAGCUUUUGUUAACCAAAUAAUUGAAUACUCCUAGUUACUUUUCAGUUCUAGUUCAGUUCUUGACACCAAAAUAAACCAUUUUCUUUACAUAGUGAAUGUAGAACUUGCCAAUAAGAACUUUCAAUACUAAACUUCUAUGUAAAACAAAACAUCUCAAAAUCAAUAAUACUUUAAUGGAAUGGUGAAGAAUUUACUUAAACACAAAGGAAUGAAAAUAUCUCUGCAAAUAUGUCUAUUGACUUUUCAAAUUUGGUGACCUCUUUCGAAUUAAUUCCCUUACCUCUGUUCCUCAUCCACAUAAAAAUGACAAAAAUGAAAGAUAAUUUUCCAGCCUAUAAUUAAAUUUCUCCAUUGUUGGU
rnacentral:antisense_RNA from 1 species